rnacentral:rRNA from 1 species
UACGUAGGCAGCAAGCGUUGUUCGGAAUUACUGGGCGUAAAGAGCGCGCAGGCGGUCGUUCAAGUCGCGUGUGAAAGCCCCCGGCUCAACUGGGGAGGGUCACGCGAUACUGAUCGACUCGAAGGCAGGAGAGGGUAGUGGAAUUCCCGGUGUAGUGGUGAAAUGCGUAGAUAUCGCUUGGAACGCCGAAGGUGAAAACAGGUCGCUGGGGACGCGCCGACGCUGAGACACGAAAGCCAGGGGAGCAAACGGG